GACGAACGCUGGUGGCGUGCCUAAUACAUGCAAGUCGAGCGAGACUCUUCGGAGUCUAGCGGCGGACGGGUGAGUAACACGUGGGCAACCUGCCUGUAAGACUGGGAUAACACCGGGAACCCGGUGCUAAUACCGGAUAAUCCUUUUCCUCUCAUGAGGCACAGCUGAAAGUCGGUUUCGGCUGACACCUACAGAGGGGCCCGCGGCGCAUUAGCUAGUUGGUGAGGUAACGGCUCACCAAGGCGACGAUGCGUAGCCGACCUGAGAGGGUGAUCGGCCACACUGGGACUGAGACACGGCCCAGACUCCUACGGGAGGCAGCAGUAGGGAAUCUUCCACAAUGGACAAAAGUCUGAUGGAGCAACGCCGCGUGAGCGAUGAAGGCCUUCGGGUCGUAAAGCUCUGUUGUUAGGGAAGAACAAGUACCGGAGUAACUGCCGGUACCUUGACGGUACCUAACCAGAAAGCCACGGCUAACUACGUGCCAGCAGCCGCAGUAAUAC
rnacentral:rRNA from 1 species